UCGAGAAUCAUUCACAAUGGGGGAAACCCUGAUGCAGCGACGCCGCGUGAGGGAAGACGGUCCUCUGGAUUGUAAACCUCUGUCGGUAGGGACGAUAAUGACGGUACCUACCGAGGAAGCUCCGGCUAACUUCGUGCCAGCAGCCGCGGUAAUACGAAGGGGGCAAGCGUUGUUCGGAAUUACUGGGCGUAAAGUGCACGCAGGCGGCGUGACGCGUCAGAAGUGAAAUCCCCGGGCUCAACCUGGGAACUGCUUUUGAAACGGUCAUGCUUGAAUCAUGGAGAGGGUAGCGGAAUUCCGAGUGUAGAGGUGAAAUUCGUAGAUAUUCGGAAGAACACCGGUGGCGAAGGCGGCUACCUGGCCAUGUAUUGACGCUCAGGUGCGAAAGCGUGGGGAGCAAACA
rnacentral:rRNA from 1 species